UUCAUUUUCUGAGACCGGAAGUGGUCAUCAGGAAGUGUGGAGCCAAACAGAGUACGGUGCAUAGACUGUACAUGCAUUUUUUUCGUGAGUUUUCAUGGUCAAAAUGAGAGAUCAGGUGGCCGAUCUUAAAAUAAAUCAAUACUGAUUUUUUUAUAGAGCGAUAAAGUUUUGCGAAGCCAGGGGGCGGGACUACUUGAUUGACAGUCUGGUCUGGAAUGAUUGACAGGUCCUAUGGAGGAGGAGGCAGAGACUCUGCUCUCCUCGUUUGGAUUAAUUCUGAUAUAAUAACUGUUGGUUUAUUUAUCAGUGGAGCAGCAGAACCUUUUCCACAGACAGUUUUUCUUCCCGUUGGCUUGUUUUAACCAGUUUUCUACCUUCGGCUGAUUCUAUCAGCAGACACUGAAAGGACCCUGAUAGUUCGAGUGAAAGUAGCAGUUCCUCCUGAAGGUCAGAGAUGGCAGCAUCUGAGGGCUUCUUCAAAAGAAGACGUAGUUGAUGAAGGCGUUCUGGAGCAGGACCAGAAAGACCAUGACCAAGCAGCGUUGAGAUCUUAGGCAGCAUCUCCCUCAGGUCCCUCUCUAUCUCCCCACACAUCCACCAACCACUGGAACACAUCUCCAAAGUUCUGCUGGU
ensembl:lncRNA